AUUGAACGCUGGCGGCAGGCCUAACAAAUGCAAGUCGAACGAGUGGCGGACGGGUGAGUAAUGGCUGGGAAACUGGCUGAUGGAGGGGGAUAACAACUGGAAAAGGUAGCUAAUACCGCAUACCAUCAGAUGUGCCAAGAUGGGAUUAGCUAGUUGGUGGGGUAACGGCUCACCAAGGCCACGAUCCCUAGCUGGUCGGAGAGGAUGACCCGACACACUGGAACGUAGACACGGGCCCGAAUCCUACGGUAGGCAGCAGUGGGGAAUAUUGCCCAAGGGGCGCAAGCCUUAUGCAGCCAUGCCGCGUGUAGGAAGAAGGCCUUCGGGUUGUAAAGUACUUUCAGCGGGGAGGCGUUACCCGCAGAAGAAGCACCGGCUAACUCCGUGCCAGCAGCCGCGGUAAUUC
rnacentral:rRNA from 1 species